ACGUAGGUGGCAAGCGUUAUCCGGAUUUACUGGGUGUAAAGGGCGUGUAGGCGGGACUACAAGUCAGAUGUGAAAACUAUGGGCUCAACCCAUAGCCUGCAUUUGAAACUGUGGUUCUUGAGUGUCGGAGAGGUAAUCGGAAUUCCUAGUGUAGCGGUGAAAUGCGUAGAUAUUAGGAGGAACACCAGUGGCGAAGGCGGAUUACUGGACGAUAACUGACGCUGAGGCGCGAAAGCGUGGGGAGCAAACAG
rnacentral:rRNA from 1 species